rnacentral:tRNA from 1 species
AGAGAAAGACGACUAUAAGGUAAUUUACUAUAAAAUAGAAUCGACUUGAUUUUAUUCUCUUGCUGUUAAUUUAAUUUAUAAAAUAAUUAAGUAGAGUCUCAUAGCUCAGCUGGUUAGAGCGCUACACUGAUAAUGUAGAGGUCGGCAGUUCGAGUCUGCCUGAGACUACUAAUUAAAGGAAAUUCUAGAAGUUGGGAUUCAAAUUCAGAAUUCUAGAGAACUAGGAUUUAAGGAAUGGGGAAUUAGCUCAGCUGGCUAGAGCGCCUGCCUUGCACGCAGGAGGUCACCGGUUCGACUCCGGUAUUCUCCACUAUCAACGUUAAGUUGAAAACGUUCAUUGACAUAUUGAAAAAGAUACAUGAAAAAAGUUAAAUAUUUAUACUUAGGUAUUUAACAAGAAUCAAUAUUUAUUGUAACGAGCAAUAAAUGUAACUCAUUAAAAAGACAAAAAGUA